CACGUAGGGUGCGAGCGUUGUCCGGAAUUACUGGGCGUAAAGCGUGCGCAGGCGGUGAUGUAAGACAGGUGUGAAAUCCCCGGGCUUAACCUGGGAACUGCAUUUGUGACUGCAUCGCUGGAGUGCGGCAGAGGGGGAUGGAAUUCCGCGUGUAGCAGUGAAAUGCGUAGAUAUGCGGAGGAACACCGAUGGCGAAGGCAAUCCCCUGGGCCUGCACUGACGCUCAUGCACGAAAGCGUGGGGAGCAAACAGG
rnacentral:rRNA from 1 species